rnacentral:rRNA from 1 species
GUUGUCCUGAUGGCUCACAUGAAGUUUCGUGCCGUUCCGACCUCGUUUGAUACGGUUAUGGUUAACCACACGGCCCCUCGGGCCCGACCCGAGCCCAGUCAACGUUUUGACCCGAUCAAAUCGGCCCGUGACCCGAAACGACCCUACUUGGGCCCUACAACAGCCACGUAAAGUUUCGGGAUGAUCCGACGUUCUUUCAUGGGGUUACGGACAAUCCACGCCAAACAAGCGUCACGGGCCGACCGAGCCGGGCCAACGGGCCCUCGGGACCCGAAAACUGAAUUUUUUUUCAUCCAAACCCAUUAAAACACGUUACCGAGGUCUCACGCAAAAUUUCAUGCCAAUCCGACGUCGUUUGAUGGGGUUUUGAGAUAUUAUGAUUCCUCAAAAAUUUAAUGUCUGUUCCUGUCACUUAGCUUUUUGUGCAAAAUGUAUAUAUAGGGGAGGGGUGGGUGUUGAGCAGCCCAUGCCCGGGCAAGGCAUGCCAGCGCCCAAGCCAAAGGAGGCUGGUGGCGUGCGUAUAACAGCUCAAAUGCCCCAACGAUGACCGAGAACAAGCGCCCAUCUCCCCUCCUUCCCCCCCACCAAGCGCCCCUCCCCCCCCAUGUUGCCUGCCCACUCGCACAGCUACUCGUGAUUUCAUGCCCAGCGACUAGUGAAUGUGCCUCGACGACCAGCAAACCUCGAAAAUUAUGAUUCCUCGUAAAAUUAAUGUCUGUUCCUGUCACUUUACUUUUUGUGCAAAAUGUAUAUAUAGGGGAGACCAGGGGCUUGAGCAACCCCUGUGCCCAAGCAAGGGUCAGAUGGAAGCACACGAGACGCGAGGUUUAAAGCCUAUACAAGCAAGGCGUCUGUCUCCCCAAGCCCCAUUGCCUAUAAAACAAGCCCGAUGCCUUGUAAAUGCCCCACACGAUGCCUAUAAACGACAACGAUGUUUGCUAGUUAAUCGAUCGACGCCCCACACCUUGCAGCAUGUUGCCUAGUAAACAAGCCAUGCUGCCUUGGAAGCGCCCCACAUCAUGGCAUGUUGCCUAGCACGCUGCCCUUGUUUCCAGCACGGCGACCUGAAAGCGUGGCCUGACGACGUGCUUGCCUUCGAAAAUUAUGAUUCCUCAAAAAAUUAAUGUCUGUUCCUGUCACUUUACUUUUUGU